AAUGAACGCUGGCGGCGUGCUUAACACAUGCAAGUCGAGCGAGGCCUGGGGGGCAACUCCCAGAGUCGAGCGGCGGACGGGUGAGUAACACGUGGGUAACCUGCCCGGAAGUGGGGAAUACCUCGGGGAAACUCGAGCUAAUACCGCAUGACAUCUUUGGGACGAAAGUCCUGACGAUCAAAGCGGGGUCGCAAGAUCUCGCGCUACCGGAUGGGCCCGCGCCCGAUUAGCAGUUGGUGAGGUAACGGCUCACCAAGGCUUCGAUCGGUAACCGGCCUGAGAGGGCGAUCGGUCACACCGGAACUGAGACACGGUCCGGACUCCUACGGGAGGCAGCAGUGGGGAAUCUUGCGCAAUGGGCGAAAGCCUGACGCAGCAACGCCGCGUGGAGGAUGAAGGCCCUUGGGUUGUAAACCUCUUUCAGCUCCGACGAAGCGGAAGUGACGGUAGGAGCAGAAGAAGCACCGGCCAACUACGUGCCAGCAGCCGCUGUAA
rnacentral:rRNA from 1 species